rnacentral:misc_RNA from 1 species
GAUGAAGAACGUAGCGAAAUGCGAUACUUGGUGUGAAUUGCAGAAUCCCGUGAACCAUCGAGUCUUUGAACGCAAGUUGCGCCCGAAGCCAUUAGGCCGAGGGCACGCCUGCCUGGGCGUCACACGUCGUUGCCCCCCCAUCUACUCCUUCGGGAUUGCGGGGGGCGGAUGAUGGCCUCCCGUGCGCCUCGCCGCGCGGUUGGCAUAAAUGCCAAGUCCUCGGCGACGCACGCCACGCCAAUCGGUGGUUGCGAAACCUCGGUUGCCCGUCGUGUGCGUUCGUCGCGCAUCGAGGGCUCGAAAAAAUGCUCGGCUUCGGCUCGGCUUUCAACGCGACCCCAAGUCAGGCGGGGUUACCCGCUGAAUUUAAGCAUAUCAAUAAGCGGAGGA